UAAUUUAUCUAACGCAAAUUAUUAUUUAGUUGUGAUAGAUUCAUGUCUAACUGCUAAAAUUACAUAUUAUUUUAAACUUGGCUACAUCAAAAAAAUACAUAAACUAAUUUUCAAAUAAUACUAACUUUAUACAAGAUU
rfam:Populus trichocarpa isolate Nisqually-1 chromosome 6, whole genome shotgun sequence.